UUUCAUGGUUGACGAAAUCCUACGUAGUUGUGUGUUGGUGUAAAUGUAUCACAUAAAAAGGAUUGUAAAUGAGGCCGUUAACUUUUGACAAUACCUCUUGAACAUUACUGAAAUAUUUCCUUGCAUAGUGCAGGUGUAGUUAUGCUGCAAUCAGCUAUAUUGGUGUUGCUUCCCUCAGGAUGUUGCUAUCUCUACAAUAGCCGGAGAAGACGAAACAAGUUUUGCAAUGCACACGGACUGGCUCAGUUGUGAAUGUCACAAAUGCUCCCCUAACGAGGAUCAAAUCAUUGAAAGGAUGGCCUUGAUAAAUAAUAUUCAUGAGGCGAAGAGGAAGUACCCAUACAUGAUGAGCUUUGAGAGGUGACUUUGCAAGACUGACUAAGAUUGACCCAUCACCUUGUAUUGCAAAAGGGAUCAACAAAAUUGUGAAAAUGGCAGAAAUGAAACACAUCCCUUGCGAAGCAAGUGUAAUGGCAUCACUUCAAAAGGCUCGUGAGAUGUCACCGGAGAGGAUGCGAACACGACGACCCGAGCGUUCCUGCAACCUCUUGCAUCAUAUUUUCUGGAGAAGACGUUGAAGAGGCUGACCUCCACAUCAAGGUGGACCGCGAGAUGUUUGCAGUGAAAAAUGGGGAGGAGGGGCUGGCGGCUGUUUUAUCUGCUUACUGGCUCUUCAAUAUCCAGUACGACCGCAAGCUGUUCAACACU